CCUACGGGUGGCAGCAGUGAGGAAUAUUGGUCAAUGGGCGAGAGCCUGAACCAGCCAAGUCGCGUGAGGGAAUAAGGCCCUAUGGGUCGUAAACCUCUUUUGUCAGGGAGCAAAGGCGUCCACGUGUGGACGAGAGGAGAGUACCUGAAGAAAAAGCAUCGGCUAACUCCGUGCCAGCAGCCGCGGUAAUACGGAGGAUGCGAGCGUUAUCCGGAUUUAUUGGGUUUAAAGGGUGCGUAGGCGGAGUGUCAAGUCAGCGGUAAAAUUUCGGGGCUCAACCCCGUCGUGCCGUUGAAACUGACGCCCUUGAGUGAGUGAGAGGUAAGCGGAAUGCGUGGUGUAGCGGUGAAAUGCAUAGAUAUUGGGAAGAACACCGGCGGCGAAGGCGGCCUUCUGGGCCACGACUGACGCUGAGGCGCGAAAGCUAGGGGAGCGAACAGGAUUAGAUACCCCUGUAGUC
rnacentral:rRNA from 1 species